rnacentral:tRNA from 1 species
GGGCUCAUAGCUCAGUGGACUAGAGCGUGCGUUUCCGAAGCGCAAAGUCGAGGGUUCGAAUCCCUCUUUGCCCA